UACAGAGGGGGCAAGCGUUGUUCGGAAUUACUGGGCGUAAAGGGCGCGUAGGCGGCUUGUUAAGUCAGACGUGAAAUCCCUCGGCUCAACCGGGGAACCGCGUCUGAUACUGGCGAGCUUGAAUUCGGGAGAGGGAUGUGGAAUUCCAGGUGUAGCGGUGAAAUGCGUAGAUAUCUGGAGGAACACCGGUGGCGAAGGCGGCAUCCUGGACCGAUAUUGACGCUGAGGCGCGAAAGCCAGGGGAGCAAACGGG
rnacentral:rRNA from 1 species